rnacentral:sRNA from 1 species
CCAGCCCCCCUCGUGAUAUCUUAAUCAAAUCAUGAACCCUUCUCUCUCAGCUCACGUCUCUACCCUGCUUCCUGUUUACUUCCUGGACUCACUACAAGUAUCAGCUCUUCAUCCUAGUCUGUUCUGUUGGGAACUCGAGGCCUGCCACUUGCUGCAGGUUAUGGAGUUCCUAAGUGUCUAUUCUGAGCAUCUAUUGCUGUGUAAUGACCUGCCACACAAUCUGGUGGCUUCCGGUAGCCUUAUUUAUCACCCUGCUUCUGUAGGUUGACUGGGUUUGACUGGGUGAUUUUUUGGGGAGGGAGAGGGGAGUCCAACACAUAGGUAGAUGUCUGGGGAUAGAGGCGUCUGCAGGCUCUACUGUACUGAUUGUCCGAACAGCCAGGAGUUCAAGGUCAAGAGGUAGGACACAAGCCGGCUAAAGGAUUCUUUUGGAUUAGCAUAGAGUCACUUCUACCACAUUCUAGUAAAAACAGUACUUUCAGGCUCUCUCGGUAGGAGAGGUGGAGAAAUGAAUCAUGUUAUGGUUUGAAUAGGACAGGCCAGAUAAGCUCUUGUUCCCAGAUCGUGGUAACAAAUUCAAGACGUGGGGCCUAGCCAGAGGAGCAGGCUGAUGAGGGCAGGUCCUUAACCCCCUCCUAUCUGUCUCUGUGCUGACGGAUUGGCCUUUGCAAGCAGCUUUGCUCCUUUAAGCUCUUGCUACCACACUGCCCUAGUUCACUACCAGUCCACAGUGAUGGAGCAAGCUGGCCAUGCACUGACAGCAGGAACCCAAAUACCGUGCAGGGACAGGAUGCAAACCUGGUCAGUGUGGUUUGAGAAAUCCUAAUUGUAACCUCCAUUUUGCCUCUACGGAAGAUAAAUAAGAAGUCUGGUCAUUUCUAGAGGACCAGAGGGUGAGCUGAAAAGGAUGGAAAAUGUUAUCAGGAUCCCAAGUUUAAGUCCAGACUGAUGUGGCCCCAAGUGAUCUCAGAUGUAGAGUUGGCAGCCUUGACAGGGGCCUGGAAAAUGCAGUGAGGCUGGCAAGAUGGCGCCGAAGUAAAGGUGCUUGCCUUAGCCAACCUGGUUGACUGGGUUUGAUCACUGGCGAGUACAUUGUGGAAGGAGAGAACUGAUUCCCCAAAGUUUUCCUCUGACUUCCGUAUGUGUAUUGUCAGGGUUAGCCUGGGCAACUCAGUGAGCCUUGGUCUCGAAAGAAAAGGUAAAAUGAGGGUUGAGUGUGUAACUCAGCCAGUGUCCUUGCCUAGGGUCAAUCUCCAGUAUUAAAAAACAAAAAUUUCUCUGGAGAUACAUUGAAGGAUUUUGAGUCCGAAAAUUAUUCUAGAUUACCAAGAUAGCCCAAAGAUGCCAAUUAAAAGUGUCCUUGUAGGAGAGAGUCAUGGAAACACACCUCACACAGGAGAAGAUGUGACAAGGCAGAGUGAUUGGAAGGUACUGCCCUUGGAGAGAUGUGGCCAUAAGCCAGGGAAUGCCAGAGACCACCAGAAGAAGCACAGACUCUCCCCUGGAGCCUCCCUGGACACAUUGAUUUUUGGUCCCAUUACAUAGAUUUCAUCUAUACCUGGGUUUGAAAAUAAUCACUAAAUUGAUUUCAUCUAUACCUGUGGCUUCAAGAAUCCCACUUUGUGGCAACUUACAAUAGCUCCCACCAGCUAGGAUCAAUCCAUUUCAGACAGUGUUGGAGAACGGGUUGUAAACUUGUUAGUCCAGCUGGCAUUAAACAAAGGCUUAGCAAAAUCCCAGAGUGCAAUUGUGUGUCUAGGGGACAAGUGACAGGUUGCACAAGUGUCACGAGUAUUUGACAUCAGGGAGCCUAUGUCGAGAGUUCGAGGAGUCUCUUGGUUCUUGUGGAGUCAGUCUACUGAGAAACACCAGACGGCUUAAGGGUUACCUCCGCAAAGAUCCAAGGUUCAGUGAACUUUCAAGAUGAAGGUGGUUGAGAACCACCCUUCCCCCCAGUAUCUUUUUUUCAUCUUUAUUAUGUUAUUAUGUUAACUAUACAUUUAACACAGCCUUGGAGGGCCAAGAGGACACAAAAGGUGUUGGAUAGGCUGGCCUUUAAGGAUGAGGCCUCUAAAGUCAAACCAUCAGGGAAGCUGGAUUUUAACAUGCCUUUCAUCUCAGAGUCUGGCUGGUUGGUGCCUGGUGUGAAGUGGAACUCAGAUACGAACUCGGAGCAGCAGUGGGUUUUGUAAGGGGAAUAGAACUUAGUGUUUCGUGGGUAGGCAGUGUCUGGGGAGGAAUGGUUCUCAGGUACUCCAAUCUGGCCAGAGCUGGCCUGCUUUGUUUAACUUUUUAAACAACCCCUCUGGGGUUCAAAUGAGUGACAGAAGAAAGGAAGGAGGAAGGAAGGUGAAGAUGUCAGAACAGUGGUGGGUGGCGGCUGGGGAAGGAGCGUAGAGCCUCUGCAUGCUUCUCUAUGUCCACUCUUUGUGAGCAGGAGCAGCUCUGGGUCUUACUUCCAGAAUAUUAACCAUUUAAUGCCACGGCACAAAUCAUGCUGGUCAAUGAACCCAGGCCCCAAAGCAGGUCAAUUAAUUCUAAUUACAUUCAUUUACAUUCAUUUAUUUUGUGUUUGGCAUGGGGCUUGGGAUGUAUGUGGAGGUUGGAGGACAGCUUGCCAGAGUCCGUUUUCUUCUUCCCUCGAGCGGUUCAUCAGGAUUGAACCCAGAUUGUCUCCCAAACUCCAGAAACUGUUUAGAGUCUCUUAGUUUCUGCAGGUCAAGAGCCUGGGAUUAGUUUAUUUUAGUCCUGGCUCUGAGCUUGUGGACUGCAGGAUGUAACCAUGUACCCUAUGCACUGUCCCCCUGCGCGCAUGCGCGCGCACGUGCACACACACACACACACACACACACACACACACGCACAUGCACACACACACGCACAGGUACAUGCACCCCAUCCAGGGCUCCAUUGAAGUCAUAGGACCAGUUUCCAAAAUGGCUCCCUCCAUGGAUGGUGAAUCCAUGGUGACUGUUGGCAGAAAAUCUCCACGUUUUAUUCCUAGACCUGUCUACUGAAUAGUUGUCAACUCUCUCAAGUGAAUGAUCCCAGAGAGUGAGGCAGAAACCACCGUGUCCUUUAUGAGCAGGACACUUUCUGCCAUUCCUACAACAGAUUGUACAGGUGAGCUCCGUUCAGCAGAGGAGGGAACUCCCCUGGGUCCACCUUCCCGGAGGUAGGGUGUACCACCACAGGCUGGCCGUCUCUAGAACAGUGGAAAGGGCUGUCCUGUGGCUAUCGGAUCAGCAUGAACAGGAGCUGGCCGUACUGAAGAAAUCUGCUGCGGUCAGGUGGGCCAAGGUCUGGCUCCAGCCAAGGGACGGAGAGAGCCUGCCAUCCCUCCAUGAUGUCCAUGCAGCUUCCGCCCACGCUGGCAGGGAGUGGAGGCCUCCUUUGGGCACUGCUGGAUCCUGUUACACUGUCACAGAGCAAGACAAGAACUGUGGAGCCCGUGGCAGGAGACAAUGGCCUCCAUUGAGGAAUUAUGACGUAAAGGAACCAGCAAGCCCACAGCCGCCAUUCAGGAAACAAUGGUUGUUUCAAGAGGGCCCAGGGGUGCUCCCAGGAGAGGCAAAGACGCACCUCAGCGGCCUGGAGAAAAAUCUCCCCUGGACCUGUCUGAAAAGGUCCUGUGUGUUUGCUGUGCCUACCAGGAGCUCUCUGGAUUUGCAAAUGAAAGACACAAGCUUGCCAGAGCUGGUUGCCCCAGUGAACAGCAGGUGCAGAGGAACCAGAAAGACCAGUCACAUUUUUUGGCUUCUGAGAUCCUGAAAAGGCUCAGUGAGAUGCUCAUCCUAGUGGUCCUGCCCUGAUGACUGCGUUUCCAGACCUGGCUCCACAUGCCAUGCUCAGCAGGUUCCAGCUCUUUCAGAGGCCUUUGAGCUCUGGUGUCAUCUGGAUGUCGUUCCAAGGCUCAGGUGGGACAAGCGUUCAGAAGGGACUCCACUCAGGUCUCAUCCACUGCAUGGAAUUUGGGUAGAGUCAUCUGGGAGGGACUGAAGGCACAUAUAUGGUACCUGUGCUCCUGUAUAGGAAAGAACUGAGAGAGCCCUUUGCACAUCUUGUGCCCCUAGCCAUCUCACCUGCACAGUGAAUGCUGCUUGAUUCACACUGGGCAUCAAUGUGAGACAGAAGUCACACCAAGACACUGGUGGACAAGUAGCUGGUUUGCUGCUCACUGCCUGGACACCUUGAACUUGACACACACACACCUGCAACCUCUAUUCUAGCUGCCACCAAAGAAGUCUCUAUUCUAGAAGGGCUAGGACUGUUGCUAUUUCAGAGUCGGCUGAACACCCCCAUCAGAAACGCAUUCUAGCCAGCUUGCUAGAUAAGGGAACAGGGCUAAAGAGUUUAAUAGCAUACUUAAGGUUAUAUACUUGGUUAGAAGUCACAGCUUGAUUUCUGUGUUCAGAAAAUUACUUGGGACUUGAACCAACCAAACAAUGGCUCCCCCCCACCCCCGUGUGGUCCAGGAUCAAGCUUAUGCCGGGUCACUGAAUAGCCCAUUGGAAGGGCCCAGGCUCAGUGGGAUUCCAAGACUCCAUUACCAAAGCUGCCCAUAUAAGCACACUAUAGGUUCUGUAGUAGAAAACAGGAAGUUCUGUGCUCUGGAAGCAUAACUCCCCCUCAGUUCCCACCCCAUGCCUGGCAUAGUGUGUGGCUCAUGGCACUGACUCUCACCGCUCCGGCUAAGCACGAGCUGGCUUAGCUUCACAGUGACGUCAUCUUAAUGGUUGGCUGGUUGUGUUUUCCUAAGACUAGACCCACGGAGCCUUCCACACCUUUCACCUGCUUUCUCUGGCUUACAGCAGUAGGGGGUGGAUUCCAGGCUAGACCAAGGUUCUCUGAGUACCCACUGCCCCUACAGGGUCCACAUU